rnacentral:rRNA from 1 species
AGAGUUUGAUCCUGGCUCAGAGCGAACGCUGGCGGCAGGCUUAACACAUGCAAGUCGAGCGGGCGUAGUAGUACGUCAGCGGCAGACGGGUGAGUAACGCGUGGGAACGUACCUUUUGGUUCGGAACAACUGAGGGAAACUUCAGCUAAUACCGGAUAAGCCCUUACGGGGAAAGAUUUAUCGCCGAAAGAUCGGCCCGCGUCUGAUUAGCUAGUUGGUGAGGUAACGGCUCACCAAGGCGACGAUCAGUAGCUGGUCUGAGAGGAUGAUCAGCCACACUGGGACUGAGAUACGGCCCAGACUCCUACGGGAGGCAGCAGUGGGGAAUAUUGGACAAUGGGGGCAACCCUGAUCCAGCAAUGCCGCGUGGAUGAUGAAGGCCUUCGGGUUGUAAAGUCCUUUCGGCGGGGAAGAUGAUGACGGUACCCGCAGAAGAAGCCCCGGCUAACUUCGUGCCAGCAGCCGCGGUAAUACGAAGGGGGCUAGCGUUGUUCGGAAUUACUGGGCGUAAAGGGCGCGUAGGCUGUGCUGUAAGUCAGGCGUGAAAGCCCCGGGCUCAACCUGGGAAUUGCGCUUGAUACUGCGGCGCUGGAAGGUGGGAGAGGAUGGCGGAAUUCCCAGUGUAGAGGUGAAAUUCGUAGAUAUUGGGAAGAACACCGGUGGCGAAGGCGGCCAUCUGGCCCACAUUUGACGCUGAGGCGCGAAAGCGUGGGGAGCAAACAGGAUUAGAUACCCCCGUAGUCC